rnacentral:rRNA from 1 species
GCCUACGGGUGGCAGCAGUCGAGAAUUUUUCACAAUGGGCGAAAGCCUGAUGGAGCGACGCCGCGUGGGGGAUGAAUGGCUUCGGCCCGUAAACCCCUGUCAUUCGCGAUCAAACCUCGCUAUUUAAAAGAUGGCGAGCUGAUAGUAGCGGAAGAGGAAGGGACGGCUAACUCUGUGCCAGCAGCCGCGGUAAUACAGAGGUCCCAAGCGUUGUUCGGAUUCACUGGGCGUAAAGGGUGCGUAGGUGGUGAGGUAAGUCGGAUGUGAAAUCUCGGAGCUCAACUCCGAAAUGGCAUUGGAAACUGCCUUGCUAGGGGGUUGGAGGGGGGACUGGAAUUCUCGGUGUAGCAGUGAAAUGCGUAGAUAUCGAGAGGAACACCGGUGGCGAAGGCGAGUCCCUGGACAACUCCUGACACUGAGGCACGAAAGCUAGGGGAGCAAACAGGAUUAGAUACCCCGGUAGUCC